CCGGUUGAUCCCGCCGGACCUGACUGCUAUCGGAUUGAUACUAAGCCAUGCGAGUCAUUGUAGCAAUACAAGGCAGACGGCUCAGUAACGCGUAGUCAACCUACCCUAUGGACGGGAAUAACCUCGGGAAACUGAGUAUAAUGCCCGAUAGAACAUUAUGCCUGGAAUGGUUUAUGUUCCAAAUGAUUUAUCGCCAUAGGAUGGGACUGCGGCCUAUCAGUUUGUUGGUGAGGUAAUGGCCCACCAAGACUAUUACAGGUACGGGCUCUGAGAGGAGUGGCCCGGAGAUGGGUACUGAGACACGGACCCAGGCCCUAUGGGGCGCAGCAGGCGAGAAAACUUUGCAAUGCGCGAAAGCACGACAAGGUUAAUCCGAGUGGUUUCUGCUAAAGGAACCUUUUGUCAGUCCUAGAAACACUGAUGAAUAAGGGGUGGGCAAGUUCUGGUGUCAGCCGCCGCGGUAAAACCAGCACCUCAAGUGGUCAGGAUGAUUAUUGGGCCUAAAGCAUCCGUAGCCGGCUCUGUAAGUUUUCGGUUAAAUCUAUAUGCUCAACAUAUGGGCUGCCGGGAAUACUGCAAAGCUAGGAAGUGGGAGAGGUAGACGGUACUCCGUAGGAAGGGGUAAAAUCCUUUGAUCUAUGGAUGACCACCUGUGGCGAAGGCGGUCUACCAGAACACGUUCGACGGUGAGGGAUGAAAGCUGGGGGAGCAAACCGGAUUAGAUACCCGGGUAGUCCCAGCUGUAAACUAUGCAAACUCAGUGAUGCAUUGGCUUGUGGCCAGUGCAGUGCCGCAGGAAGCCGUUAAGUUUGCCGCCUGGGAAGUACGUACGCAAGUAUGAAACUUAAAGGAAUUGGCGGGGGAGCACCACAAGGGUGAAGCCUGCGGUUCAAUUGGAUUCAACGCCGGAA
rnacentral:rRNA from 1 species